GACGAACGCUGGCGGCGUGCUUAACACAUGCAAGUCGAACGGAAAGGCCCUGCUUUUGUGGGGUGCUCGAGUGGCGAACGGGUGAGUAACACGUGAGUAACCUGCCCUUGACUUUGGGAUAACUUCAGGAAACUGGGGCUAAUACCGGAUAGGAGCUCCUGCUGCAUGGUGGGGGUUGGAAAGUUUCGGCGGGUGGGGAUGGACUCGCGGCUUAUCAGCUUGUUGGUGGGGUAGUGGCUUACCAAGGCUUUGACGGGUAGCCGGCCUGAGAGGGUGACCGGCCACAUUGGGACUGCGAUACGGCCCAGACUCCUACGUGAGGCAGCAGUGGGGAAUAUUGCACAAUGGGCGGAAGCCUGAUGCGGCAACGCCGCGUGCGGGAUGACGGCCUUCGGGUUGUGAACCGCUUUCGCCUGUGACGAAGCGUGAGUGACGGUAAUGGGUAAAGAAGCACCGGCUAACUACGUG
rnacentral:rRNA from 1 species